GACGAACGCUGGCGGCGUGCUUAACACAUGCAAGUCGAACGGAAAGGCCCUGCUUUUGUGGGGUGCUCGAGUGGCGAACGGGUGAGUAACACGUGAGUAACCUGCCCUUGACUUUGGGAUAACUUCAGGAAACUGGGGCUAAUACCGGAUAGGAGCUCCUGCUGCAUGGUGGGGGUUGGAAAGUUUCGGCGGUUGGGGAUGGACUCGCGGCUUAUCAGCUUUUUGGUGGGGUAGUGGCUUACCAAGGCUUUGACGGGUAGCCGGCCUGAGAGGGUGACCGGCCAUAUUAGGACUGAGGUACGGCCCAGCCUGCUACGGGAGGUCGCAGUGGGAGAUAUUGCACAAUGGGCGGAAGCCUGACGGAGCAACGCCGCGCGCGGGAUGACGGCCCUCGGGUUGUAACCCGCGUUCGCCUGUGACGAAGCGUGGGUGACGGUACUGGGUAAAGAAGCACCCGCUAACUACGUG
rnacentral:rRNA from 1 species